GAUGAACGCUGGCGGCGUGCUUAACACAUGCAAGUCGAACGAGAAGUGAAGACGGAAACCUUCGGGCGGAAGGCUUUAUUUCGAGUGGCGGACGGGUGAGUAACGCGUGGGUAACCUGCCUCAUACAGGGGGAUAACAGUUGGAAACGACUGUUAAUACCGCAUAAGACCACAGCACCGCAUGGUGCGAGGGUAAAAACUCCGGUGGUAUGAGAUGGACCCGCGUUCGAUUAGCCAGUUGGCGGGGUAACGGCCCACCAAAGCGACGAUCGAUAGCCGAUCUGAGAGGAUGACCGGCCACAUUGGGACUGAGACACGGCCCAAACUCCUACGGGAGGCAGCAGUGGGGAAUAUUGCACAAUGGGGGAAACCCUGAUGCAGCGACGCCGCGUGAGUGAAGAAGUAUUUCGGUAUGUAAAGCUCUAUCAGCAGGGAAGAAAAUGACGGUACCUGAGUAAGAAGCCCCGGCUAACUACGUG
rnacentral:rRNA from 1 species